CCCCUCUCUCUGUCUCUCUUGAACAAAAUCUCUAGAUCUGGAUCUAAAGUGGUUUUCAGGACUGCAAUAUGGAUUCCAUCACCGUCAUAUGGUUUCUUUGAUCUUAUAAACAUCACAGCCGCGACGAACAAUUUCUCUUUCCAGAACAAGUGGAUUUGGUUCUGUCUAUAAGGGUGUGCUUUACAAUGGAAGGGAAAUAGCAGUGAUAAGGCUGUGAACAGAAGAUUAUAUGAAUACUUGAAAAAAAUAGAGCGCUUUUGAAUUGGAUAAGAUACUUCGAAAUAAUCUUAUAUCUUCAUCAAUAUUCAAGAUUAAGAAUCAUUCAUAGAGAUCUAAAGACAAGCAAUGUUCUACGAGAUGCUUCUAUGUACCCCAAAAUUACAGAUUUUGGUAUGGCUAGGAUAUUUAAGGGAGAUCAAAAUGAAAAUAAAACAAAUCGUGUGGUUGGGACAUAGGGGAGAUGGAGAUGGUGUUGCUGCCUGCGAAGUGGUGGUUUGGUUGACGGUGUUGGGUGGGGGUGGGAGAGGCUGUUUGGAGUUGGAUAGGUUUGGGAUGUUGGUGGUUUAACGGUGAUUGGACAUGACAAAAUAAUAAAAGACGUAUUGCCUGACAAAAUAAUAAAAUAUGCAUGACUAAUGGUGAUUGGACAUGUACUUUAGCCUGACAAACUCAUGUCACGAAUUGGUGACAAACAUCAAUAGCUACGUAGACAUAUGUAACACACUGGUUAAUCAUGACUGUAAGGUGACUGAAGCUUGUAGUCACGAAUAAAUGUGACUAAUAGUCACCAAAGAAAAAGUGACUAUUGUCCAAAUUUUUUGUAGUGUUUGUUUGCUUUUUUUAUAAAAAUCUUACGAAUCACGAUUGAACUGGUGAAAACUAUAAUGAAGAGCCAAACUUU